rnacentral:rRNA from 1 species
CGCGCAGGCGGUUUCUUAAGUCUGAUGUGAAAGCCCCCGGCUCAACCGGGGAGGGUCAUUGGAAACUGGGAAACUUGAGUGCAGAAGAGGAAAGUGGAAUUCCAAGUGUAGCGGUGAAAUGCGUAGAGAUUUGGAGGAACACCAGUGGCGAAGGCGACUUUCUGGUCUGUAACUGACGCUGAGGCGCGAAAGCGUGGGGAGCAAACA